GAACACACUAAGAUAUUAGCAAUAUUAGAAAUCCAGCACUGUGGGCGUCGCAGUAGAAUGUGAUAGAAACUGAAAGCAUGGAUGCGGUAAAAGAAGAUUUAGUUUCAACAUAAAUAUGUUUGAUUCUUUGGAAAACCAUGAGAGAAAAAAAGGACAGUAUAUCAGAGUAAAUUAUCGGCUACGAGAAGAGAACCUUCAAGUUGAUUAGGUUGGGGUUGGAAAGGUUUCUGAGGAUCUAGUAACAAGUCGAGCAAACAAAACCCACUAGUAGCAUCAGCUGCUCACUGAUGUGGUGAUGUUAUCCUAUGUCUUAUUAUGGCUGCUUGGAUGUUCAGAAGAAAGUAGACUUGGAAGGCUUCCAAAACUGUGUCUUUUAUGGCAGACAGGUAA